GACACUCCCUCAGCACCGGUUUCCUGGAGCUCAGCAGCUCCUUCCUGGCAGAACCUGAGGCAACCCUGCAAAGAAGAGAAACCCCCGCACCCUAUCCUUUACCCAACAAGGAAGGCAACCAUCCAGAAACAAACCAAAACAAAACCGAACAACCCAAACCAUCCAAGAUAGCCCCUCUUCUGCUUGGAUGCUCUCCCUAAGGUAUCUUAUUGUUUGAGAUAGUCUUUCUAUAUGUUGCCCAGAUUGGUCUGGACCUCCAGAUCCUUCUGCCUCAACCUCCCCAGUGCUGGGAUUACAGAUCUGUGCGCCACUAUUCCCAACUCUAAGACUCUUUUUGUGAAGCCACCAACCAGAGGUGGCUGGCAUCCUUUUCUCUCCCAGCUGAUGAGAUCCGUCCCCUUCCCUUUCCUCAAUUUCGCUCACCCUCUGUCCCUGUCUGCUGUUUCAGUUCUUCUUCUUUUCAGUUACUGGAGACACCCGCUUGUUUCAGGAGUCACUCUAGUUUGACAUGGCAUCGUGUAGCUUGGGAUGCUGAGGGCUUCUGGUUUCCAUCUUCCUCCUGCACUGCCCAGUCCACACACCUUUCUCCUAGAAAAUUUCUAGAAAAGUCCCUUCAAAUUCUGAAGUGAUAGACACAUUAAAAUGAGAGGAUGGAGUUUUGGAGAGGGAGGGGUGUAUCUCGGUGGUAGAGUGCAUACUUAACAUGCUUGAGGUCCAGCACAGAAAGAGAGAGAGAGAGACAGAGACAGAGAGAGACAGAGAGAGAAAGGAUGCAUUUGAGGCUGUCUAGCACAGUGGUUCUCAACCCGUGGCUUGCAGUCCCCACCGUGUUCACAUAUCAGAUAGAUAUCCUGCAUAUCAGAUAUUUACAUCACGAGUCAGAAUAAUAGUAAAAUUACAAUUAUGGAGUAGCAACUAAAAUAAUGUUAUGAUUGGGGUCACUGCAACAUGAGGCACUGUAUUAAAGGGUCGCAGCCUGAGGAAGGGUGAGGACCACAGGUCUAUCGCCACACUCAGUUAUCCAAAGCUAAUGUUUGUCACCUUCCCCAUGGUAAAGAGUUCUCAUCCACUUGCUGGAGAUUUCUUCAUAAGAAACUAGAGUCGAGGGAGUCAUGUGUCUGCAUGUGAACGUGUGGGUGCAUCAGGUGUCUCCCUCUACUAUUUUCCAGUUUAUUACCUUGAGACAGGGUCUCUCACAGGGCCAGAAAGCUUUUGCGUUGGCUAGGACGGUGGAGUCUGGGCUUUUGAGAUUCGCCUGCCUCUGCUUCCCAAGGCUGGCAUCGUGGGUGUGUGCGGCCACAUCCACCUCUUCACUUCGGUGCUGGGGAUUUGAACUCAGUGCCCCUGGCUUGCAGAACAAACACUCUUACUUACUGUGCCAUCUCCCGGGGCCCUCGUACUGCAUAUCUGGAGUGCAUAAAAGGAUAAGCCUGGUAUUUUAAUGCCUCUGAAGUUUCUUAUACAGUAAGAUCAGCGCCUCUGAGCCCCCUCCCUUCACCCAGACUUAUAGGACCUGACCCUGUCAUCCAAUCUCCCAGUCAAAAUUUUUCCAAAUUGGAUGUGGGCAUGAAAGGCUUAGAAAUAAGCCUCUGGGAGUUAGGGAAAUGGCUAAAUGAGUGAAGUGCUUGCCUUGCAAGCAGAAGGACCUGAGUUUGAUGAUUCCUGGGAUGCGAAUAAAGAAGCCUGAAGUGAUGGCCUUCACAUGUAAUACCAGGGUUAGGGACGCCUGUCAAGACUGCUCCAUGAGUUGUCUCAUUUCCACCCCGAAACAAUGGGGCAAAAGAGAGAAAAAAACAAAUAUAGUGGAAAAUGCCUCCAGGGUACCCCCCUGGCAUGUUCUUUUGAGUAGCUCAAUAUUUUAAAAGUGUCCUCUAUAGCCACUGGUCCAGGCAAUCCCCACGGGAGGCUGAACCAGGGGUUGGGAGUCAGAAAGGUUGGAAGGGGAAGAGAGAACCUAAAAUUAUCCCUGAGGAAAAAGGGCCAGCUGGGCUCCCAGGGACUCAGCAGCUCACUCACCCAUGAGCAGGACUGUCAGGGGCUCUCAAGCAAAGGUUUUCCCUGUCCCAUGGAUGCAGCCGUCAGAGCUCCCUUCUGCUGCCCCUGCCCCUGCUCCUGUCCCAGCCAUGCCAGGGUGGUGUGAAGGCUGCCUUUGGCUGUGGCUUCUUGCUGGUCAUCAGGGUGAUUGCACCCAAGUCAGGGUUUUGCAACACCCCAGAGCGCUGCCAGUUAUCGCAAAGGGGUGUCAUAAGAUUCUCAGCAAGCAAUCUCUAAAACAAAUACAUGCCAUUUGGCUCUUCCCCCCACCCCACCCCCCUACCCCCAGGACAUCAGAAUAGGUUGGGGAAAGAUAUCUCCCCCAAGACAUACUCAAGGGCCAUCUCUGCUUUAGUCAAGGACCAAGCCCUGUUACUUG
rnacentral:lncRNA from 1 species